rnacentral:lncRNA from 1 species
AGGAACACUUCAAUAUUGAACCAUGGGUCUUGUAUGAAAACAUUCCUCGCCUCCUGACCACAGAGGUGGUUUGAGUGGUAAUCAUCAGUGAAGCCUGAAAACAAGGAUGUGCAUAAAUAUCUUCUCUAUAUUGGAAACAGGGCAAAUGAAUACAAAAAGGCAAGGUAUAAUAAUUAGUACCAUCUUCUAAACCUCAGUGCUUCCCAUUGUUUCCCUGCAACACAUAUAAGAUAGUUAGUCAUCAGGUUAAGUAAGGGUUCACAUGCUAUCAGUAAAAUAUGUUAAUGAAAAAUAAGCACAUUGCAGAUUCAUCAGAUUAAUUCAAGCCACAUGGAAAACCCAUUUAGCCAAACAAAGCAUGAUUAAGAACUAGGAAAUAUAGCACUUGUAUACGUUUCUCAUCUAUUAAGUGUAGCGAAAUUCGAUUUAUUCCUCACAUGGUAUACAACUAGUACAAAUGACCGUGCGUUGCAACAAGCGAAAUAAAAAACACCAAACCUGCUCUGCGUGUCAUUACUCACUAUUUCUUAUAUCCAUUUCUAAUAAGCGUCAAUAAUAAGUUUAAACUGAUUAUCGCUUUUGGGAGCAUGAAAUAUGUCCUUCCCACCGGAAGGAUGACUAAAGAUCCCCACAAGCUCACGCCCUCUGUUUCAACACUGGCCCAUUUGUAAUGAUACUUAUUGUCCUUACCGCCCAUGGCCUUCGAAGUGUUCCACACGACUAAGCUUACCCGCUCGCUCGAUCUUAUUGAAGUGUUUGCGUCAUCUGUCGGCCGACCCCGCCAGUGUAUUAACCUUGCGAGCUCUUCCUCAAACCUUCUCGGCUAGUUUCAGCAGUUCCUAAUGCUUGUUCCAAAUAUACAUAAUUAUAAUCUAAAUUAUGUUGCAUUUAUUUUUAGUAUGCAAUUUAAAAAACACACACACUCGAUGCCCAUACCAGCAAUAUAAAGUUGAGAAAGUCGUAGGGAUGUCAUUGGAUGGCGCCUCCUUCAGCGCACUGUCAUUGGCUGGAAGUGGAAUGUUGUAUUUGUUUCUAGCCACAUAUACAAAUGGUGGAAUUGUUGUAUACUAUUCAAGGGUUUAAUAACUAAUUCAAAAGUUUUUCUUAGAAUUUUCAAAAGAAUUUUUUGGGCGAAAGAGUAAUGGUGCAUUGAAUUGGGAUUGUUUAUAUACAAUUUUUUGUUAAUAUUCGAAAGCAAAGACGUUUCUAUUAUGUUAAUUAUUAUUUUAGAAAAUAUUGGUUAUUUGAUUUGCAAGAUUAUAUUUCGUUCCUUUUCUUUUGCAUUAUUUGAACUUGGCCAACAUCACCAUAAAAAAGCAAGCUUUUAUGUGUUCCCCAUCACAGAUAAAUUUCAAUUGGAUUGUCUACAAAAAAGGUAAACUUCAAGAUGCAUCAUGGCCACAUUCUCUCUACUCUUCAUCCAUCCCUCUCUCUCCUUUCUGUCUCACCAAUGAUGUCGGUAAUAUCCAGAGUUGGGGAAUAUCUUGAUUGUCAAGUCCUGUUGAGCUCCAAAUAUCUUCUCCCUUAAGAACUAUUUAUUCAAAUAUUUUACUCACUUUUAAUUAUUGUAUAUCACAUGAUGUAUUUAUAAGAUGGGGUAGGCAUGGAAAUUAAACUAUAACAGUAACAACAAACAAUAGUAGCCAAUUAUUAUAUUGGUGCUCAUUUAGAAGAAAAAUAAAAUGCAAUCGAUGCUGGCACGUAUAGCAACAUCUAGUAGCUUUUGGUCGGUACUCGGUGCAGCCAACUAAAAAAGCAAUCCACAACGAGAGCUAUCUCCCACUGCGUGCCUUAUCCACAUCUCUUGUUCUCCCUGCAAGCCACACACACACCCACGCGACCGUGCUCUAGUCCAUGGUGCCACAUUCCCCUUCUCUCUUCCCUCCUCUCUUAACUCCUCCGAACUUUCGUCGGCCAGUUGCGGCGCGGCUACGUAUUGGUUCCUGGUGACCGGGCCUGCGCGCGGGGGCGGACUGGGGCUGUGGCGGAGGCGCGGCAGCGGUGGCCGACGGCUGCUUGAUGGGGCCGCGUGGAUCUGCUGCCGGGGAUGCGGCUCGGUGUGGUUGUCUGAGCCCCGAGUUCUCGACACCGAGGUCAGCGCUCCUUGAGAAUUCACGUACAUGCGUCCGCAGCGAGCGGGUGAAAUCGAUCCAGCUGGUUCCCAUCGUAGCUAGCUUGUAUUUAUGUGUGAACCAUUCAGGACUGCUCCAUGUGCAGGCAUGAGUUUUACCAAGCUACCUCUGACUCCUUCGUUUAUUGUUCAGCGUCUAGGCCAUCAAUAAUCCUAAAUCCAUUGCCAAAUCUGAAAGGCAGGUUUGAUGAAUCCAACAACCGGCAGUGGCAAAACCAUUGAGAUAUUGCUUUAUCCAUUCGACAAUUUGCAGUAAUAUAUCUACUUACUUGGCAAUGAUAAACAUAUACUGAUCGAUGAUAUACACUUGUAGAUUAUUGUGAAUUGUACUUACCUGCGCUUAUCUUUUGGUCUGAACAGAGCUUGGUGAUCCAGAGGGUGCUUGUCUCCAUCGGUGGACAUUCGAUGACAAAUGAAAAAAAAUAGAGGCAACCAAUUCAGUGAGGCCGCCCACCCAGCAAAACGCACCGAAGAACCAAUCUUUCUUAACAAGAGAAGAAGGCGACAUGGCCCUCCCAGGAGAGAAG